ACGGUGGGCGGUUUUGGAGUGUAAGGUGGAGGGGAUGGAGUGUACGGAGCUGGAGGCUUGACGGUGGGCGGCUUUGGGGUGUGAUGAGGUGGCUUGACGGUGGGUGGUUUGGGAGUGUGAGGAGGUAGUUUUGGGGUGUGAUGAGGUGGCUUAACGGUGGGUGGUUUUGGAGUGUGAUGAGGUGGUUUUGGAGUGUGAUGAGGUGGUUUGACGGCGGGUGGUUUUGGAGUGUGUUGUGGUGGCUUGACAGUGGGUGGUUUAGGCGGUUUAACGGGAUGUUUGGGAGGUUUAACGGGGUGUGGAGAUGAUUUUGGAGGGUCACUGCAG
rnacentral:lncRNA from 1 species